CCUAAAUGACCGAAGGCGGGGAGGAAAACAAAUUGGCGCUAAUCCAAAAGAAAAAGAAAAAUAAAGAUAAACCCUAAUUAAGGAGAAACAGAAUCUUAUCUCUCAUUGUUUUCUCCUCUACUCAACUGCGUCUCUGUGGCAUCCUCUCUCAAUCUCACAUCUUUGAAGCUCUCUCAGAUCACUAUCUCUCACGGAGGGUUCCUCCACCACUGCCAACAACACCGUCAAGGAAAGAGUUGGACCAUUUCCAAAAUUUAGCUCAAGUUCAAGAUCUUAAGGUUAGACGACAAUUGGAUCCUCAAAUUGUUGAUAGAAGACAGAGCCUCAAAAUUAGUCAGUGUCAUCACCAGUUGGAUGUACUUGAAACAUAGAUUUCAACCAGAAUUUACCAAUGGUCUCAACAAAAGAGGAAGUAUUAGAAAAUAAACACAGAUGUUAAAACUGAAGAAGAAUGGGCUUUUCUGUGCACUCAUUUUUCUAGUAAAGAUUUUCAGAUUGUUUCAGAGAAAAAUUCUAUUAAUAGGUCACGUUUGAAAUAUCACCAUAAAGCAGGGUCGAAGUCUUUUAUGUCGCAUCAAGAACAUAUUGGUGCACAAACAGGGGAGAUGCUAGGUGCAAUUGAACGCUUUGAAAUGAAGUACAAAAGCAUUAAAAAAAGGUUGGGACUUGGGAGCGAAAGAAUUAUGGGAUCAAAUGGUUAAUAUGCGAACUAAGACAACCCUUCCUGAUGGGACUCGAACCAUGAAUGAUGAUGAAAUAUGUGCAAAGGUUCUUGGAGUGAACAAGAAAAGAUUGAUGCACAAAACGUGCUGAUCCAGGAAUUGCAGGAGCAAGGCAAAAAGUUUGAGCCGUUCAUGGCAACCUUUAUGAACCAACAAGCAUCAAGUUAGUUAUGCGUAUCUAGGAUUUAGUAUCAGUUAAACAAGUUCAUUGAUUUUUGGAUCAUUUUUAGUUCAGUAUUGACUUUAGACUAUUCCAAUUAGUAGUUAUGGUAGACAACAUUAUGAAUUAUUAUUUUGUUUAUUGUUUAACAAGUUUUGAAUAAGAAUCCUCUUUUUAGAAUAAAAUAAUAUGUAUCGCUGGCAGGUUGUAUCGUAAUAAGAAGACAACUGCAACAAAAAUAAAUUUCCUCGCUAUAGAUUAAAAUCAAUAACGACAAAAAUAAAUUUUCUCACUAUAGACUGUAGAUCCUACACUGACGG